rnacentral:rRNA from 2 species
UAGGGAAUCUUCGGCAAUGGACGAAAGUCUGACCGAGCAACGCCGCGUGAGUGAAGAAGGUUUUCGGAUCGUAAAACUCUGUUGUUAGAGAAGAACAAGGACGUUAGUAACUGAACGUCCCCUGACGGUAUCUAACCAGAAAGCCACGGCUAACUACGUGCCAGCAGCCGCGGUAAUACGUAGGUGGCAAGCGUUGUCCGGAUUUAUUGGGCGUAAAGCGAGCGCAGGCGGUUUCUUAAGUCUGAUGUGAAAGCCCCCGGCUCAACCGGGGAGGGUCAUUGGAAACUGGGAGACUUGAGUGCAGAAGAGGAGAGUGGAAUUCCAUGUGUAGCGGUGAAAUGCGUAGAUAUAUGGAGGAACACCAGUGGCGAAGGCGGCUCUCUGGCCUGUAACUGACGCUGAGGCUCGAAAGCGUGGGGAGCAAACAGG